rnacentral:tRNA from 1 species
CGGGCUGUAGCUCAGCUUGGUAGGGCGGACGCCUGGGCGACAGGUCGCAGCGAAAAAAAAUUAAAUGUUCGAUGCAGCAGCGGGCUGUAGCUACAUGCUUGGUAGAGCGCUUGCAUGGGGUGCAAGAGGUCGCAGGUUCAAAUCCUGUCAGCCCGA